rnacentral:lncRNA from 10 species
GGGAAAGCUAGACCUGCAGAGUGAAGAAAGCUGGUAAUAGAUGUCUGACAAACUAAAGAAAGACUUGUGUUACUGUCUGCACACUGGAAAUUCUUCCUGGUUGUGAGACAAGACCUCAGACUUAUCUGAGCUAAGGGGAAGAAAGACUGCAACAGUGUUGGGCCUGUGGGUACACAGAAGUCAAGAAUUGAAGAUUGGAAACCUCCACCUAGAUUUCAGAGGACAUAUGGAAAUGCCUGGAUAUCUAGGCAGAAGUCUGCUACAGGGGCAGAGCCCUCAUGGAGAACCUCUACUAGGGCAGUGUGGAAAGAAAAGGUGGGGUUGGAGACUCCACACAGAGUCCCCACUGGCACACUGCCUAGUGGAGCUGUGAGAACAGGGCCACCAUUCUCCAGACCUCAGAAUGGUAGAUCAAAUGACAACUUGCACCAUGCACCAGGAAAAGCCACAAGCUCUCAAUAUCAGCCUGUGAAGGAGCUGCCUAAGGCCAUGGGAACCCACCUCUCCCAUCAGCAUGCCCCCGAUAUGAGACAUGGCGCCAAAGGAGAUUAUUUCAGAGAUUUAAGAUUUAAUGACUGCCCCACUGGAUUUUGGACUUGUGCAGGGCCUAUAGCCCCUUUGUUUUGGCCAAUUUCUCUCAUUUGGAAUGGGAGCAUUUACCCAAUGCCUGUAUCCCCAUUGUAUCUAGGAAGGAACUAACUUGUUUUUGAUUUUACAGGCUUAUAGGCAGAAGGGACUUGCCUUUUCUCAGAUGAGACUUUGGAUUAUGGACUUUGAGUUAAUGCUGAAAUCAUUUAAAAUUUUGGGGGACUGUUGCGUAGGCAUGAUUGGUUGGGAAAUGUAAAAAGACAAGAGAUUUGGAUGGGCUGGGGCAGAAUGAUAGGGUUUGGCUCUGUGUCCCCACCCAAACCUUAUCUCGAAUUGUAAUUCUUAUGUGUUGAGGGAGGGAACUAUAAUCUCCACAUGUUGAGAGAGGGAGGUGAUUGGAUCAUGGGGGCAGUUUCCCCCAUGCUGUUCUCAUGAUAGUGAGUGAGUUCUCAUGAGAUCUGAUGGUUUUAAAGAUGUUUUGAAGUUCCUCCUUUUCUUUCUCUUGCUGCACUGUGAAGAAGGUGCUUGUUUCCCCUUUGCCUUAUGCCAUCAUUGUAAGUUUCUGAGGCCUCCCUAGCUAUGUGGAACUGUAGUCAAUUAAACCUAUUUCCUUUAUAAAUG